CUCUUUGGAAACUUGAUUUACAAGUGCCAGAUAUAGUAUUCACAUUUUUUCAGCUUCAAACAUUAUCUAGCAUACUUAUUAAUACCAUCCAAGCAAGAGAAUUAGUAAACAUCGCACAACUCACUGAGUUGAAUAUUAUUUUCGAGGAAGGGGAGGAAUGCUGGAGAGCAAUUUGUGAUUCUGUAAAUAAAAUGACAAAUCUUAAGUCUCUAUCUAUUCGAAGUGAUGGAUUACAAGAAUUUAUAGAUUUCUCGCCACCCCUUUCUCUCGCGAAGCUCCAGCUCUCUAGGUUUGAAAAACUGGUAAA